rnacentral:rRNA from 1 species
CCUACGGGGGGCAGCAGUGGGGAAUAUUGCGCAAUGGGCGAAAGCCUGACGCAGCGACGCCGCGUGAGGGAUGAAGGUCUUCGGAUCGUAAACCUCUGUCAGCAGGGAAGAACGGUCACUGUGCUAAGCAGCAGUGAAUGGACGGUACCUGCAAAGGAAGCACCGGCUAACUCCGUGCCAGCAGCCGCGGUAAUACGGAGGGUGCGAGCGUUACUCGGAAUUACUGGGCGUAAAGCGCUCGUAGGCGGUAUGUCAAGGCAAGGGUGAAAGCCCCGCGCUCAACGUGGGAACUGCCUUUGAAACUGGCAAACUGGAUUGUGUGAGCGGUUAGUUGAAUUCCAGGUGU